UUAAGUUCAGCGGGUAUCCCUACCUGAUCCGAGGUCAACCUUGCUUGAAAUUUUAACGGCACGGGCGGCCCCUCUCGCCAGCGAAUUUGAUGCCACAACGCUGAGAUACGGGUCGUCCAGCCGGUGAAAUUAAGGCGCGGGAGAGCCCCGCCGCCCAAUGCCAAGCCGGGCUUGAGUGGUGUAAUGACGCUCGAACAGGC
rnacentral:misc_RNA from 1 species